rnacentral:rRNA from 1 species
AGAGUUUGAUCCUGGCUCAGGACGAACGCUGGCGGCGUGCCUAAUACAUGCAAGUAGAACGCUGAAGAGAGGAGCUUGCUCUUCUUGGAUGAGUUGCGAACGGGUGAGUAACGCGUAGGUAACCUGCCUUGUAGCGGGGGAUAACUAUUGGAAACGAUAGCUAAUACCGCAUAACAAUGGAUGACACAUGUCAUUUAUUUGAAAGGGGCAAUUGCUCCACUACAAGAUGGACCUGCGUUGUAUUAGCUAGUAGGUGAGGUAAUGGCUCACCUAGGCGACGAUACAUAGCCGACCUGAGAGGGUGAUCGGCCACACUGGGACUGAGACACGGCCCAGACUCCUACGGGAGGCAGCAGUAGGGAAUCUUCGGCAAUGGGGGCAACCCUGACCGAGCAACGCCGCGUGAGUGAAGAAGGUUUUCGGAUCGUAAAGCUCUGUUGUAAGUCAAGAACGGGUGUGAGAGUGGAAAGUUCACACUGUGACGGUAGCUUACCAGAAAGGGACGGCUAACUACGUGCCAGCAGCCGCGGUAAUACGUAGGUCCCGAGCGUUGUCCGGAUUUAUUGGGCGUAAAGCGAGCGCAGGCGGUUUGAUAAGUCUGAAGUUAAAGGCUGUGGCUCAACCAUAGUUCGCUUUGGAAACUGUCAAACUUGAGUGCAGAAGGGGAGAGUGGAAUUCCAUGUGUAGCGGUGAAAUGCGUAGAUAUAUGGAGGAACACCGGUGGCGAAAGCGGCUCUCUGGUCUGUAACUGACGCUGAGGCUCGAAAGCGUGGGGAGCGAACAGGAUUAGAUACCCUGGUAGU